AACAAAAAAGAAAGAAAAAGAAAAAAAACAUAAAAAAAGAAAAUAUAUUUACUAUUCAUUAAGUGGAAGUUGCAGUGAGCCGAGAUUGUGCCAUUGAACUCUACCCUGGGCAAAAACAGCGAGACUCUCUCUCUCUCAAAAAAAAAAAAAAAAGAAUAAAGAGUCAUAAAGAAUGAAGGAGGCAUGAUGCUACCAAAAAAAAAAAAAAAAAAAAAAAAUGAAGCUGCUGUUACUGAC
rnacentral:lncRNA from 1 species